rnacentral:rRNA from 1 species
AGUGAACGCUGGAGGCGUGCUUAACACAUGCAAGUCGAACGAGAACGGAAUAUAGCUUGCUAUAUUUGUCAGCUAAGUGGCGCACGGGUGAGUAAUGUAUAGAUAACCUGCCCUUAAGAAAGGAAUAACAGUUGGAAACGACUGCUAAUGCCCUAUAUGCCUUUAAUACAUAAGCAUGCAAGGGAAAGGCUUUAGUGCUUAAGGAUGGGUCUGUAUGGUAUCAGCUUGUUGGUGAGGUAAGGGCUCACCAAGGCUAUGACGCCUAACUGGUUUGAGAGGAUGAUCAGUCACACUGGAACUUAGACACGGUCCAGACUCCUACGGGAGGCAGCAGUGGGGAAUAUUGCACAAUGGACGAAAGUCUGAUGCAGCAACGCCGCGUGGAGGAUGACACAUUUCGGUGCGUAAACUCCUUUUAUAUAGGAAGAUAAUGACGGUACUAUAUGAAUAAGCACCGGCUAACUCCGUGCCAGCCGCCGCGGUAA